GACGUAGGGCGCGAGCGUUGUCCGGAUUUAUUGGGCGUAAAGAGCUCGUAGGCGGCUUGUCGCGUCGACUGUGAAAACUUGGGGCUCAACCCCAAGCUUGCAGUCGAUACGGGCAGGACUAGAGGUUGUGAGGGGGAGAAUGGAAUUCCCGUGGUGUAGCGGUGAAAUGCGCAGAUAUCGGGAGGAACACCGGUGGCGAAGGCGGUUCUCUGGGCCUUACCUGACGCUGAGGAGCGAAAGCGUGGGGAGCGAACAGG
rnacentral:rRNA from 1 species